GUCCUAGUUUCGCAAUGGAUAGCGCGUUGGACAUCUAAUACAAAAGUUGUGGGUUCAAAUCCCAUCUGGGAUG